rnacentral:rRNA from 1 species
UACAGAGGUCCCAAGCGUUGUUCGGAUUCACUGGGCGUAAAGGGCGUGUAGGCGGCCAACUAAGUCCGACGUGAAAUCCCCAGGCUUAACCUGGGAACUGCGUCGGAUACUGGAUGGCUUGAAUCCGGGAGAGGGAUGCGGAAUUCCAGGUGUAGCGGUGAAAUGCGUAGAUAUCUGGAGGAACACCGGUGGCGAAGGCGGCAUCCUGGACCAACACUGACGCUGAGGAGCGAAAGCCAGGGGAGCAAACGGG